UGGUCAGUAGUCAACGCUAUAAAUAAAAUAUUCUCUGAUAGCUCAAACAUAUGCUCUAAUUUCCACUACAAAAGCAAAUUCCAGACAAACAAUUUGGUAUAGAUUUAGGAGGACAUGAGCUUUUACAAUCACUGUCUUUCUUGCAAGAAGCAUCCUGCUUUAUUCCAUGAUUAUCAUUUGUUUCAGUUUGAAACUUUUCUUGUCCCAACACCAUAAAUGAUGGUGAACCUACGAAACCAAAAGAAAUAUUGAGAUCAAUAAUUGCAUUCAUGAACAAAAUUUAGAAAUUAAUAAUGUAGAUUUUUUUUUUUCAUGUUGUUAAUUACUAUUACAAUAUUUAUCGAAAACAUUCAACCUAUUAACAUCAUUGCUAAUAACAUUCAAAUAAAACUACAUAUAUGUCUACUAGUGGCGUGCUUGAAAUUUGAACUUGGAACCUCAAAGUAAAUUAAUCCAUCCUAGAUCCACCCCUGAUGUCUAUCUAGUAGAUCUAGAGGGGCGGAAUGGGUUCAUUCGAACCAUGAAUGAAGAGAGAGGGUAGGGGAUGAGGAAAGAAACCUUACCUAACAAAACGAACAAGACAAUAAGAGAGAACAAAACGGUUGAUGCCUUCUCCAUUUUUCAACACUAUAUCUCAAUGAACAAUGAUGUUUUUUUUCCUUCC
rnacentral:lncRNA from 1 species